UAAAAUCUUGUUCGUAAGGUAAAGAAAUAGUGUGUACUUUUCUUUUCCAGAACGCAUUGGGCUGUUCUGAACAAAGGUCCUUUUUAAAUUUUUCUAAAACAUUAUCAAUUCUUUCUUUGAUAAUUGGUGAUCCUAUCUGUUCUUCUAUUCUCUUAAAUCGUAUUUCUUUAUUAAUAAAAUUAAUUUGCCUUUUCUUUUUACUUAUUAAGUUAAUUCGAGAUAUGGCUCUUUCUUGAACAGAGUUUAAAUCUCUAACUUUUGGUUUAUCUAAGAACUCAAAAUUAAUUUCCCUACCUAAGACUGUAGUGGUUAUUCCAUUUUCAUCUACUUUAAGGGGGUAAAGUAAGGUUAAAAAGGGUGUUCCUAGAAUAAUUUCUUCU
rnacentral:lncRNA from 1 species